rnacentral:rRNA from 1 species
CCUACGGGAGGCAGCAGUGGGGAAUAUUGCACAAUGGGGGAAACCCUGAUGCAGCGACGCCGCGUGAGUGAAGAAGUAUUUCGGUAUGUAAAGCUCUAUCAGCAGGGAAGAAACCCACCCUCCGGGGUGGCUGACGGUACCUGACUAAGAAGCCCCGGCUAACUACGUGCCAGCAGCCGCGGUAAUACGUAGGGGGCAAGCGUUAUCCGGAUUUACUGGGUGUAAAGGGAGCGUAGGUGGCAAGGCAAGUCAGAUGUGAAAACCCGGGGCCCAACCCCGGGAGUGCAUUUGAAACUGUCUGGCUAGAGUGCAGGAGAGGUAAGUGGAAUUCCUAGUGUAGCGGUGAAAUGCAUAGAUAUUAGGAGGAACACCAGUGGCGAAGGCGGCUUACUGGACUGUAACUGACACUGAGGCUCGAAAGCGUGGGGAGCA